rnacentral:rRNA from 1 species
GAUGAACGCUGGCGGCGUGCCUAAUACAUGCAAGUCGAGCGAACAGACGAGGAGCUUGCUCCUCUGACGUUAGCGGCGGACGGGUGAGUAAAACGUGGAUAACCUACCUAUAAGACUGGGAUAACUUCGGGAAACCGGAGCUAAUACCGGAUAAUAUAUUGAACAGCAUGGUUCAAUCGUGAAAGUCGGUUUUGCUGUCACUUAUAGAUGGAUCCGCGCCGCAUUAGCUAGUUGGUAAUGUAACGGCUUACCGAGGCAACGAUGAGUAGCCGACCUGGGGGGGUGAUCUGCCAGACUGGAGAGGAGACACGGUCCCGACUGCUACGAGAGGCAGUAGGGAAUCUUCCGCAAUGGGCGAGAGCCUGACGGAGCAACGCCGCGUGAGUGAUGAAGGUCUUCGGAUCGUAAAACUCUGUUAUUAGGGAAGAACAAAUGUGUAAGUAACUAUGCACGUCUUGACGGUACCUAAUCAGAAAGCCACGGCUAACUACGUG